AUUGAACGCUGGCGGCAGGCCUAACACAUGCAAGUCGAACGAGUGGCGGACGGGUGAGUAAUGUCUGGGAAACUGCCUGAUGGAGGGGGAUAACUACUGGAAACGGUAGCUAAUACCGCAUACCAUCAGAUCUGCCCAGAUGGGAUUAGCUAGUUGGUGGGGUAACGGCUCACCAAGGCGACGAGCCCUAGCUGGUCUGCGAGGAUUACCAGCCACACUGGAACUGAGACACGGUCCAGACUCCUACGGGAGGCAGCAGUGGGGAAUAUUGCACAAUGGGCGUAAUCCUGAUGCAGCCAUGCCGCGGGUAGGAAGAAGGUCUUCGGGUUGUAAAGUACUUUCAGCGGGGAGGCGUUACCCGCAGAAGAAGCACCGGCUAACUCCGUGCCAGCAGCCGCGGUAAUUC
rnacentral:rRNA from 1 species